rnacentral:rRNA from 1 species
AUUGAACGCUGGCGGCAGGCCUAACACAUGCAAGUAGAACGAGUGGCGGACGGGUGAGUCAUGUCUGGGAAACUGCCCGCUGGAGGGGGAUAACUACUGGAAACGGUAGCUAAUACCGCAUACCCUAGGAUGUGCCCCGUUGGGAUUAGCUAGUAGGUGGGGUAACGGCUCACCUAGGCGACGAUACCUAGCUGGUCUGAGAGGAGGACCAGCCACACUUGAACUGAGACACUGUCCAGACUCCUACGGGAGGCAGCAGUGGGGAAUAUUGCACAAUGGGCGCAAGCCUGAUGCAGCCAUGCCGCGUGUAUGAAGAAGGCCUUCGGGUUGUAAAGUACUUUCAGCGAGGAGGCGUUACUCGCAGAAGAAGCACCGGCUAACUCCGUGCCAGCAGCCGCGGUAAUUC